AAGUACCCAAUUUUUUCUACCAGCCACCAAAUUCAUCUAGCCUUGUCUCUUUGGCUUCAAAGUUUGCUCUUUUAUGCAUUGCCUCUUUGAGUAGCCAGAUGGGUUGAUCUUUAAUUUCAUAUCUGGCUUAGUUAGGAGGCAGAGAUCGAAUUUUGAGGUGAUACUUCUGUGUCAUCUCAAUUUGAGGCCUUUUGGAAAGGACUCUUUUGUUAAUUUCCAUCAAUUGUCCUCCAAGAAGCCUUGGACAUCUGCAGUUUACUGUAAUCAUUUUUGUUUGUCCUAUUUCUAUGUUUAUUUUUGUGUGUAUAUAUGUUGGUGUAUGUAUUGCCUUCGAAUAACCAGAAGGUGGACUAAAUGAUUACACCGUUUGGUUCAGACAGAGGCACAUAAUAAUUAAUCCUGAUCAGUUUGAGGGUAAGGAAACUUUAUUUAUGUAUUCCUUUCUUAGAUUGAUUUGGACAUUCUUUUGGUUUCUGGUUGUUUAUUAUCUUUAAUGUUUAUUCAGAUGCUGCUAUUUUUGAUGUUUCUGUGAAUGAAACUCAAUAAUUUAGUGUCAGAAAAAAUGGAUGGGAUAUUGGCAUAUAUUCAUUGUUGAGUGUUCUGAUUUUGUUAACAACUUAUUAUCAUAAAAUUGUCUGUUUCUGCAAAUUAUGCAGAUUAGAUCCGCUUAUUUACAGUUUCAAUGUGGCCAAUGCAAGACUGAAAAUACUGUAAAUGAUUCCGUAUCAUUUCUCAAGUGCAAGCAUUUAUGCCUAUGUGUUUAUAUUUCCUAUGUUGCAUUGUUAUAUGUGAUGUUGGAAAUAUAUUAUGGUCCUUAGUUCUUAUGUUCUUUAGGUAAGUGAUUUUCGAGUUUCUUACUAGUAUAUCACCUUGUAUUAAUAUUACAUACUAGUUUAGGCAUUGUUUUGAAUUUUUUUUAUUAAUCUAGCACUUUGCGCUAUUGCCAAUUACGUGAUUAGUGUUGCUUGUUAGUAUACUUUUAUGUUAAUCAUGCCGUUUGCAAUGGCUUGAUUAUUCAUUUGGUGUGAUUGAAAAAACACAACACUAAUCACGUCAUUGGUAUUGGCGUGAAGUCCUAGAUUGGUAAAAAAUUUCAAAAUAAUGUUGAGAGGAUAAGGAAACUUUAUUUAUGUAUUCUUUUCUUAGAUUGAUUUGGACAUUCUUUUGAUUUAUGGUUGUUUAUCUUAAAUGUUUAUUAUGAUGCUGAUAUGUUUGAUGUUUCUGUGAAUGAAACUCAAUAAUUUAGUAUAAAGUGGAACAUGCAAAGAACUCCUUUUGGGCUCUAACUAAGAGGGUAUACCCCCGAUUCAGUUUGAGGGUCGCGAACUUAUUUCCUAUGUUGCAUUCCUAAAUGUGAUGUUGGAAAUAUAUUAUGGUCCUUCUUAGUUCUUAUGUUCUUUAGGUAAGUGAUUUUGGAGUUUCUUACUAAUACAUCACCUUGUAUUAAUAUUACAUACUAGGUUAGGCAUUGCUUUGAAUUUUUUUUUUAUCAAUCUAGCACUUUGCGCCAUUGUUGGUUACGUGAUUAGUGUUGCUUGUUAGAGUAUUUUUAUGUUAAUCACGCAGUUUGCAAUGGAUUGAUUAGUCAUUUGGCGUGAUUUAAAUAACACAAUUCUAAUCACGCCACUUGCAAUGGCGUGAAGUGCUAGAUUGGUAGAAAAUUUCAAGAUAAUGUUAAGUUGGUAUAUAAUAUUAUACCGGAUGAUAUGUUGGUAAAAAACUCGUGACUUUAUGGCUAAGAGAUUGACAUACUCAAUAGAUACUUGGAUUCCAGGCUUCUUGAGUCAUUCACUAUGCGUAGGUGUUUUCUUUAUGUUACAUACCAGGUUAGGCAUUGCUUUGAAAUUUUUUUAUUAAUCUAGCAUUUCGCGCCAUUGCCAGUUACGUGAUUAGUGUUGUUUGGUAGGAUAUUUUUAUGUUAAUCACGUUGUUUGCAAUGGCUUUAUUAGUCAUUUGGCGUGAUUGAAAAAACACAACACUAAUCACGCCACUUGUGUUGGCGUGAAGUCUUAGAUUGGUAAAAAAAUUCAAAAUAAUGUUAAGUUGGUAUAUAAUAUAAUACCAGGUUAUAUAUUUUUAUACGCCAUAGACCUGAAAGUGUAUGUAAUCUUUUAAUUCUGCUCUCAUGAAUGAACCAUUUUGAAUGUUUUCUUACGUAAUUUCAAUAGAUAAAACUCGUGACUUUGUGGCUAAGAGAUAUUGACAGACUCAGUAGACUUGGAUUCCAUGCCUUCUUAAGUCAUUCACUAUGUGUAGAGUUUUUCUCUAUGUUACUGCAAAUAAAGGUUAAUAUUUUUGUACUACGGUACAUCUGUUUGGCUGGUUUAUUUGUACGUCAUAAGUCCUGAAAGCGUAUCUAAUAUUUUAAUUCUCGUCUAAUGAAUGAACCAUUUUGAACGUUCUCUUAUGUAAUUUCAAUAGAUAAAACUGCAUCUUUUGCGUAAUUGUAAUGUGCUUGGUGUAUGUAUUGUGGUUUAUAUUUGAUUCAAUGGGCUUAAUAUCAUUUUGACCCUUUCAAUGAUGUGUUUGCUUUGAGAAAAUCUGAUUGAUAUUUGCAUUGCAACAAAGAUCAAUGCAGGUUGAUUUCUUUUCAUUUAUUUUUUGUGAUGUAAUGCAUCUCUUUUUCGUUCUCUCUUUUGAAGUAGGUCAUGCACAUCAGAUUAUGUGCGAGUUAGAGAAGCGUUUUGAUGAACUGGAGUUGUGGUAACUACACUGACCUUCGGUUCAAACAGAGGCCGAUCGUAAGAGACUAAGAGUGUGUCCUGAAUCUCUGCUUGAAGGCAAUGAACAAUUUCUAUCUUCUGCUCCUUGCUCAACUAGCUAUAUUGUUUGUUCGGGGGGUUUGAACAUUUCUUGUGUCUUUUAAGCGGAAUACUUGUUUCAUUCCAUGAAGAACUCGUUCAUAUAUUUUCUCUAAAUGCUUGCUUGCUUGUUUUAUUGGACUAAAACUUUUAAGGGUUUGGCACCGCUAUUCCACCGAUCAAUUCGAUGUUGUCUUGAAUUCAUCGGCGAGGAAGGUGCGAAAGUACAUGGUCUUCCCAUGGAUAUGUUCAUGACAGAAUGCCAUUGGCAAAGAUGUUGUAUUGGGGUGGCAUUUGUAUCAUACAACACCUUGGGAACAUUUGAUUUCAUGCCCUUUUGAGAUCUUGAUGUUUUGGCCAAACAAGCAUUUGUGUACUUUUGGUUUGUUUUUAAUUUUUUGCUUUCUGUUCUUGUUGAAUAAUUUCUUUACACAGUUCAAAAU